rnacentral:rRNA from 1 species
UAGUCCACGCCCUAAACGAUGUACACUAGUUGUUGUGAGGCUAGACCUUGCAGUAAUGCAGUUAACACAUUAAGUGUACCGCCUGGGGAGUACGGUCGCAAGAUUAAAACUCAAAGGAAUAGACGGGGACCCGCACAAGCGGUGGAGCAUGUGGUUUAAUUCGACGAUACGCGAAGAACCUUACCUGGACUUGACAUAGAAAGAAUAACGCAGAGAUGUGAUAGUGCUAGCUUGCUAGAACUUUCAUACAGGUGCUGCACGGCUGUCGUCAGCUCGUGCCGUGAGGUGUUGGGUUAAGUCCCGCAACGAGCGCAACCCCUAUUUUCAGUUGCCAGCAAUUCGGUUGGGGACUCUGGAAAGACUGCCCGUGUAAGCGUGGAGGAAGGUGGGGACGACGUCAAAUCAUCAUGGCCUUUAUGCCUAGGGCUACACACGUGCUACAAUGGUAGAUACAAAGGGUUGCCAAGCCGCGAGGUGGAGCUAAUCCCAUAAAGUCUAUCCCAGUUCGG